GCGGGAAUAAGCUCAGUUGGUAGAGCACGACCUUGCCAAGGUCGGGGUCGCGAGUUCGAGUCUCGUUUCCCGCUCCA
rnacentral:tRNA from 3 species